GGCUGGGGGGCGGCGGUGAGAGCUCCGGUGUCGGGUUCCCUCUCCCACUUCUCCCCGGGCUGGGGGGCCGCGGCCGAGCGGGGCCUUGCCUUGGCACCAUGAGCGGCGGCGGGCGGGUGUGCGACCUGUCCCGGCGCAACCCCCAGGAGGACUUCGAGCUCAUCCAGCGCAUCGGCAGCGGCACCUACGGCGACGUCUACAAGGCUCGAAAUGUCAACACUGGUGAGCUAGCAGCAAUUAAAGUAAUAAAACUAGAACCAGGAGAAGAUUUUGCUGUUGUGCAGCAGGAAAUCAUUAUGAUGAAAGACUGUAAACAUCCAAACAUUGUUGCUUAUUUUGGCAGCUAUCUCAGACGAGACAAGCUAUGGAUUUGCAUGGAGUUUUGUGGAGGUGGCUCUCUACAGGAUAUUUAUCAUGUGACUGGACCACUUUCAGAACAGCAGAUUGCCUAUGUUAGCAGAGAAACACUACAGGGACUAUAUUAUCUUCACAGUAAAGGAAAAAUGCACAGAGAUAUCAAGGGAGCAAACAUCCUUUUAACGGAUAAUGGACAUGUAAAAUUAGCUGAUUUUGGAGUAUCUGCACAGAUUACAGCUACAAUUGCCAAAAGGAAGUCAUUCAUUGGCACCCCGUAUUGGAUGGCACCAGAAGUUGCUGCAGUAGAAAGAAAAGGUGGCUAUAACCAACUCUGUGAUCUGUGGGCAGUUGGAAUAACUGCUAUAGAGCUUGCUGAACUUCAGCCUCCGAUGUUUGACCUACAUCCAAUGAGGGCGCUUUUUCUAAUGACAAAAAGCAACUUCCAGCCUCCUAAGUUAAAGGACAAAAUGAAAUGGUCCAAUAGUUUCCAUCAUUUUGUGAAAAUGGCACUUACAAAAAAUCCUAAAAAAAGACCUACAGCUGAAAAGCUACUACAGCAUCCUUUUGUUACCCAACCAUUAAAUCGAAGUCUUGCUAUUGAACUUUUGGAUAAAAUGAAUAAUCCCGAUCAUUCCGCUUACCAUGAUUUUGAUGAUGAUGAUCCUGAGCCUCUUGUAGUGCCUCAUAGAAUUCAUUCGACAAGUAGAAACGUGAGAGAAGAAAAGACACGCUCUGAAAUAAACUUUGGUCAAGUAAAAUUUGAUCCACCCUUGAGGAAAGAGACAGAGCCACAUCAUGAAUUCGAUCUACAGCUAGAAGAAUAUGGUCAUGGUCCUCAGUGUGGCUACUUCUUGGGUGCAAAUAAGAGUCUCUUAAAAUCAGUUGAAGAAGAACUGCAUCAGCGGGGUCAUGUGGCACAUUUAGAAGAUGAUGACGAUGCAGACGAUGAUGCUAAACAUGCUACUAUGAAACCUAAAGUGCCACCUCCUUUACCCCCAAAGCCUAAAUCCAUCUUUAUCCCCCAAGAAACACAUCCUUCUGAAAAUGAUAAUCAAGGGACAAUCAAGAGAUGCCCAACAUCAGAGAGUCCAGCAAAAUCUGCAUCUCAGGUUCCACCCAGACCGCCACCUCCUCGGUUACCUCCACAGAAAUCUAAUGCUUUAGGUAAUGGAGUCACUUCUGUACAAUUAAAUGGUGAAAGAGAGGGAUCACCACAUCAACAGAAUGAAGCUAGAGACACUACUUUUUCAAGGAAAGAAAAGAAGGAAAUACUGAAACCAAUUAGUAAUGGCCUUCCUCCCACACCCAAAGUACACAUGGGUGCUUGCUUUUCAAAGGUUUUCAAUGGCUGUCCAUUAAAAAUUCAUUGUGCAACAUCAUGGAUAAAUCCAGAUACAAGAGAUCAGUACUUGAUAUUUGGUGCAGAAGAAGGUAUUUACACACUGAACCUCAAUGAACUUCAUGAAACAUCAAUGGAGCAGCUAUUUCCUCGAAGGUGUACAUGGUUAUAUGUCAUGAACAAUUGCUUGUUAUCAAUAUCUGGUAAAGCUUCUCAGCUUUAUUCCCAUAAUCUACCAGGACUCUUUGAUUAUGCAAGGCAAAUGCAAAAGUUACCCGUUGCUAUUCCAGCACAUAAACUCCCUGACCGAAUACUUCCCAGGAAGUUUGCAGUGUCUACAAAAAUUCCUGAUACUAAAUGGUGUCAGAAGUGUUGUGUUGUGAGGAAUCCCUACACAGGCCACAAGUACCUUUGUGGAGCACUACAGUCUAGCAUUGUUUUGUUAGAAUGGGUUGAACCAAUGCAAAAAUUUAUGUUAAUCAAGCACAUAGAUUUUCCUGUACCUUGUCCACUGAGAUUGUUUGAAAUGCUGGUAGUCCCUGAGCAGGAAUUCCCUUUAGUUUGUGUCGGUGUCAGCAGAGGAAAAGACUUCAACCAGGUGGUAAAGUUUGAGACUGUCAACCCAAAUUCUACCUCUUCGUGGUUUACAGAAACAGGUUUGUGUGCUGUUGUAAUAGCAUUCAGAAAUGUUACUUGCUCUUCUGUUACAGCUGAAGCACUAGAAAGGUACUUUCCUCUGAAGAAACUAAUGGUUAAAUCAUUAAGACUAAGUGAUUGUUGUUAAGUUCUCUGUUUAAAGGGGUAUCUGUUGUACCUGCUUCCACAUGCACUUUUUUUGCCCGUUGCUACUUGUUGAACUGAUUGGAUUUCUUGAGAUUUUGAGUAUAGCAGAGGAUGGAGUUGUGGUUUCUUGCAUUUACAUAAAUCAGGCUGUACUUGACUAUUAUCCAUUGUGUUGUUCUGUGCUCUACCCUGGCACCAUGAUUUCUGUUUAUUUAAUAGGUUUUAAUAGAAUUGCACUCUAAGCGAUUUCUUUCAACAUAUCUGUAGGUGUGGUUUGGCUCUCCUGCAAUAAGCCAGUGUGGUUAGAAAUGGUGUUAUCAGCUGCCUGCUGAGAGAGAGCAUAUUUCUAUUCUCCCAAUGUUUAUGGAAAGCAAAAGGGAUUAGGACCACUGUUAGCAGGAACCAAGUACCUGUCCAUGUCUGUCACUGGUCUGGGUGCUGUGAGUGAGGAGGCCACCAUCUGAGCAACAGUAGAAAUUCUCUUAAGAAGGAAGUGCACUAAGAAUUACUUUUCUAGAGUUACAAGGUUCCCCCCAUAAAACUAGGUAAAGUAGUGAGCUGACCCCAGUCACGCCUUGCAGGUUUAGAAGCAGUAAAUAGCUUUGUUAUUACCAGACAUCAAGCCCUUCUUGAUCCAUGAUGAACUUACAUAUAGCCCUCUGCUGGCAUAUAUAUGUGUAUGAGUCCUGCUGAUUGUGUACCAUGGAAUUGACUGAAAAGAACAGUUUCCAUUAGGAAGAUGCCUGCUGACUUUCUUGCUGCUGAAAAGUAUGUCAGAUUUUGACACAGUUUAAAGCAUAGUUACAAAAGUGAUUAGUGGAUGGCCAAUUAAUGCACUUAACUACUUCAGAGUUAGUGCAUUUUAUUUUCAAACUCACACAUCUACAUUAUGUAACUGUGACUUCAGUAGAGUACAUAAAAGUAGCAUGCUGGAGAGAAAUUCUUUGACCCAUUAUGUCCUGUUGUCAUUCUUCUCUCAGUAUUGUCUGCAUCAGUGUGUAAAUACAAGAAUAGUAAUCCCUGCCCUGUACCUUUUUUUAAUGUGCAAAAUUUAACAUUGCUUUGUGCCUUCCAAAAAUACUUCUUUACCUUCCUUGAAUCAUUUGUGCGUUCUCAUGUUGUGUCUAUGUUGUCAUUUUCUCCUAUGUGUUUGACUCUAAUUUAAACCCUCAUGUUGUAUUAGUUUAUUCCUGUCCCCUGCUGGCAGGAGAGCAAUAAUGCAAUGAAACAGAUUUUUCAGUGUUUUUUAAAUGAGGAAAUUGUGUACCAUGUGGUCACAAAUAGCUUCUGUCAAAUAGUAGUUUUCAUUGUUUGACACUUGACUUUUUUUGUAGAUGUCUGAUAAAGUUGUUUUAAAAAAAUUAGCUGGCAGAGACUUACUGCAGGGCGUUUCUCCCCUUCCCAUCCUUCUCCUGUUAGCUUCAGCCAGUGCAGUGAAUGUGUCCACAUCGCAUAAUGUGGUUGCACAGAUGUAUAUCCUCCAGUCCUUCUGUUGCAUGCUUUCAUCAUGGCUAUAGCCACCUUUGGUUAAGAUCAUGCAUUAGAAAUUGGCUAAGAUCAUAAAUGUAUGGCUUCCAAAACAAACAGCAAAAAAGAGAUGGAGGGACCAUCUCAAGGAGCACAUUUCUGCUAUCAUCCUUGAGGAGUUUUUUUGCUUCUCAACAGGACCAUGGAUUUUAUUAUUUAACUGAAAGCUGCUUUUGUAUUUUAGGUAACAUGCUCUAAUUUCUUAUCUCUAACAGAUUUAAUGAGUUUCUCUUUUCUGUAUGAAAGAAUGCCUACAGAAUCGCUGGCAGUAAUGCUGAAUUAGUAAAAGCUGCUUUCUGUGUAAUUUUGUGUUAAAAAAAUGGACCAAAACUACAUUUCUCUUUUGAGUUGACGUGUCCACUAAUCACGGGUCAGAUCCCCCUGUUUGCUGUGAUGGAGACUGCUGCAGCUGUAACCCAGAAGAGAGGAAGCUUCAGUUUUCCUGUCACAGUCAACAUGUUGGAUAAGUGGACAUGCCUCUCUAAGAGAAGAGAAAUGUCACUGGUAAGAUGAUUAUUUUAAGUAGAUAAAACCACACUAACCCAUUAAAUUGUCUCAAUCUCUAGAAGUUCCAUUUCAAAUUUCAUGCUAAUUUAUGUUAUGAACUAACACUGUCAUUUUUUUAUAGACACUACAGAGACAAGUGUUGUACAUGUAACACAGCUGGAGAGGGAUACCAUUUUGGUGUGUUUGGAUUGUAAGUUUUAGUAUCAACUAAAUAUAUACGUAUGCAUGUACAUGCAUACUGUCUGUCUUCAAAUUAGGUCAUAUAUUGAAGGUCAAUUCUUGGUUGACGUAUCCUGUUUAUUGUCUAGGCUGCAUAAAAAUAGUGAAUCUGCAAGGCAGGUUAAAAUCCAGCCGCAGACUGUCAUCGGAGCUCACGUUUGACUUUCAGAUUGAAUCAAUAGUCUGUCUACAAGACAGCGUGUUAGCAUUCUGGAAACACGGCAUGCAAGGAAGGAGUUUUCGAUCAAAUGAGAUCACACAAGAAAUUUCUGAUAAUACGAGGAUAUUCAGGCUUCUGGGAUCUGACAGGGUCGUGGUCCUGGAGAGUAGGCCGACGGAUAACCCAACAGCCAACAGCAAUUUGUAUAUCCUGGCAGGGCAUGAGAACAGUUACUGAGAACAGCGCAUGGCAGGCAGCUGACCGUGACAAGAGAACACUCCUACUGCAGCAGCAUUCAUGGCUGGCUGAAAUUGCACAAAAGCUGCAGUAACCCCACUUCAGUUACUUUAUAAUUUAUUGUGGCAUAAGAGGAAGAUGAGAAUUGUUUGUGGUAUGGACACAUAAGCAUUAUGAUACCACAGAAGUGCUUAAUUUACUGUUAUGUAAUCUUUGUACAUAUGCAGUAUUUUUCAGUGAAACUUCUUGCUGAAGACCUACACUGACCUUCUGUAGAUAGCGGUCCUCCUGUUAAGUACAAGUGUCUUACCUGUACAGAUGUAAAAGUCACUGAGGAUGCAAAAAUGAAAUCGGGGUACUAUUUUAAGGACUUCUUGUGUUUAUUAUAAAGUGGGAUGCUAGCAACAAAUAUAGUACAUUUAACAACACUAUUGUAUUUUAUUAUAUGUAAUUUACUAAUACAAGUAAAUCUUAACUUUUAGAAAUCGUAACCAAGGCUGUAAUCAGAUUACAAUCUUGUUUUAAUUUUGAUGCAACACACUGGUGUUCAUGUUUGCACAACGUAUUGAGAUGUGAUGUAUUUAGUCACAAAGGUAAGCUGUGACUUUGUGGAUAUGACUUGGGCUUCAAAGUUUCUUUUUUUAGUUUACUUGGGUAGUUUUCUUUGUGAAACAAACCAGCUAAACACCUGUAUUUUUAUAUUUAAUUAAAACUCUCCUUACGAUUACUUCUCUAUGCUUGAAAACAAUACUUUCUGGUUGGAUGUCAGUCCCAGACUAGUGGUACCUGGCUGCAACACUGCAAUAGGUGUUUGAAUUAUUAGUGUAUACAGUGAUUAAAAAUUGGUAUUACUGUUGGUCUUACUAAAUGGUUUCAUAUCACAGUGAAAAGGAGUGACAUUCCACAUUGUGGAAAUGGCUCAAAGAUGUUGCCAUUUUGACUUUUUUUUGGCCUUACAACCAUUUUCACACUUUUCUUGAUUUAGGAUGUUAACACAUGGCCAAAAUAAUUUAGUUACUACCUCAUUCAAACAAUACAAUGGUUACUAUGCAUCACAGGAACUUAGUUUUGAUCAGAAGUAUUUUUGAUUGCUAUUUUCCAAUGGAGUAUGUAAAUGCCAAGUUUUAGCAAAAUGCACACAUUUGACUCCUUUUUUUUUGUAUAUGUUCUUUAUAUUUUAUUGUGAUAAUAUACACUAAAACCAAACUAAAUUUAAAGUGAUUUAUGGCCUGCGUUAUUGUUGUGAUGGGUAAUGCUUUGAAAUAUGUUCCCUACUGUAUAUAAUGUAAAAUAAACUUUUUUAACA